rnacentral:rRNA from 1 species
UACGGAGGAUACGAGCGUUAUCCGGAUUUAUUGGGUUUAAAGGGUGCGCAGGCGGAUCGGUAAGUCAGGGGUGAAAAGUUGGGGCUCAACUCCAAUCGUGCCUUUGAUACUGCCGGACUAGAGUGCGAUAGACGUGGCCGGAAUGUGAUGUGUAGCGGUGAAAUGCUUAGAUAUGUCACAGAACACCGAUCGUGAAGACAGGUCACGAGCUCGCUACUGACGCUCAGGCACGAAAGCGUGGGGAUCAAAC